GACGAACGCUGGCGGCGUGCUUAACACAUGCGAGUCGAACGAAGAGCGAUGGAAGCUUGCUUCUAUCAAUCUUAGUGGCGAACGGGUGAGUAACGCGUAAUCAACCUGCCCUUCAGAGGGGGACAACAGUUGGAAACGACUGCUAAUACCGCAUACGAUCUGACCUCGGCAUCGAGGAUAGAUGAAAGGUGGCCUCUAUUUAUAAGCUAUCACUGAAGGAGGGGAUUGCGUCUGAUUAGCUAGUUGGGGGGGUAACGGCCCACCAAGGCGAUGAUCAGUAGCCGGUCUGAGAGGAUGAACGGCCACAUUGGGACUGAGACACGGCCCAGACUCCUACGGGAGGCAGCAGUGGGGAAUCUUCCGCAAUGGACGAAAGUCUGACGGAGCAACGCCGCGUGAGUGAUGACGGCCUUCGGGUUGUAAAGCUCUGUUAAUCGGGACGAAAGGCCUUCUUGCGAAUAGUUAGAAGGAUUGACGGUACCGGAAUAGAAAGCCACGGCUAACUACGUG
rnacentral:rRNA from 1 species